rnacentral:rRNA from 1 species
AGAGUUUGAUUAUGGCUCAGAACGAACGCUGGCGGCGCGUCUUAAGCAUGCAAGUCGAACGGCAAGAGGUAGCAAUACCUCCUAGAGUGGCGGACUGGUGAGUAACACGUGGGUGACAUACCCUUCAGAUGGGGAUAGCUAUUAGAAAUAGUAGAUAAUACCGAAUACGAGCACAGGGGUUAGAGAUCUGUGAGGAAAGGAGCUAAGGCUCCGCUGAAGGAAUGGCCUGCGGCCCAUUAGCUAGUUGGUGAGGUAAGAGCCCACCAAGGCGAUGAUGGGUAUCCGGCCUUAGAGGGUGAACGGACACAUUGGGACUGAGAUACGGCCCAGACUCCUACGGGAGGCAGCAGCUAAGAAUAUUCCGCAAUGGACGAAAGUCUGACGGAGCGACGCCGCGUGGAUGAAGAAGGCCGGAAGGUUGUAAAAUCCUUUUGAAACUGAAGAAUAAGCGUUGUAGGGAAUGACAGCGUGGUGACAGUAGGUUUUGAAUAAGCAACGGCUAAUUACGUGCCAGCCGCCGC